UAAGGUUUUUUUCCAAUGGAUUUUAUGCUACAUUAUCAAUUAUUUGAAUAAAGAAUUCUUUAUAAUUACUGUACUUUUCUAAAGCAACAAUUUAAAAUUUACAUCGAAACAUAAAAUAUACUUUGGACAAAGUCUGCAUUAAUUUAUAUAUUUUUUAUAAUACAAAGCUUUGGAUAAAUAAUUAUGAAUAAUUGAAUAAAUAAUUAAUGAGCGUGUUUCUCUUCUCUUUCUUCUAUAAAUGUCGUUCAUCUAUUGUAAAAGUUAAUACGUGUAUUUCUAAAACGAAUCUCCAAUUGAGAACUGGCAAAUAUGAAAUAUGAAGGAUAUGACAGAUAGAAACACAUCCAUCUAUAAAUAUGCACUGUCCUGUUAUUCUAAAAAAAAGAAUAUAAUUCGAAGAUGGAUUAGAAAAGUUUCUAAAUAUGCAUCUAUUUUAAUCGAUUUAUAACUAUAGGAAUUAUACUUACGUAAGUUUAAUGUGAAAAAGAACUUUCAAAUUAGCCGCCAAAUAAUGUCUAAUCAUUUUCAGUGACCUCUCGUGACGUACGAGUGAGUUAUGAUAUAAUGGAUAUGAGAAUGAGUGAAGUAAUAAUAAAAUUCAUUAAUAUAAUUUAUAAAGAAUUUCCAUUAUAUAAAAAAAUAUUCUUAAACCAUUUCACGAUAUUAUAUCUCUCCAACAUUUACUAAAUACAAAAGUGCUACUGUUGUAAUUUGAAGUGAAACGUAUAUCGCAUAAAAAAUAUAAUUUAAACAUUGAAUUGCUACGUCAAUCGGAACUGUAUCAUACAUACUGAUUCAGAUAAUGGAAACACUUAUAUUUAUCCAUUUAUAACUAUAUUAAAAUUAUAAACUAUAAAACUAAUAUUAAAAUACAUCUAAAACUAUUUAUUAAAGAGCAAUGAGAUUUUUAGUGCCUUCUACUAACUGUAUAAGUAAAUCGUGAUAUGAUGGAUAAGAGUGCUCGUGCUGAAAUAUUAGUAAAAUUUUAAUAUAAUUUAAUAUAAUUUGUAAAGAAUUCCAUUAUUUGUAUAUCUUUGGAUGUCUUAUGAUACUAUAUCUUUCCAAUAUUUAUUAAAUCCAAUAUUUAUAUUACUGCUGUAAUUUGAAAUUAUAAUCUAUUAUAUAAAAUAUAUAAUUUAUACAUUGAAUAAUUGUUAUGUCGAUAGUACUAUAUUGAAUUUCCAAAAGAUAGUGGGAAUGGCAGUUAUGCAAUAUGACAAUACUGGUUUGUAUAAUGAACUAGGAAUAGAAUUCAAAGAUGGUCUGUAUCUGCAUAGAAUUCUCUUCAGUUCUUUUCAUCCUUCACAAUGGAUGGAAAAAUACAACGACUUGUUUUCAAAGGUAUAAUUUUAUAAAAAAAAAUACAAACUGUUUUGACAUAUAAUUAUAAAACAAUUUUGAUUUUAUUACAUACUAUAACACUAUUAAUAUUAAAAAUAAAUUUUAUUAGGUAUUUUUCUAAUUUUAAUAAUAUUUAAUCUCUUUUCUAAAAAUGACAAAUUUUACUUAAGAAAUUUGAAGAAUUAUAAAUAAUAAUUAACCGUUAUGAAUAAUGUGAUGACAUAUGAUGAUAUAUGAUGAUGCAUAAUGAAUAUAACAUUAUGAAUAAUGUUGAACGUUGAGAAUAAGUUUAAUAUCAAAUAUUUUCUUAAUUUUAACAAUGUUAAAUUUCUCUUUUAAAAAUAAAAAUAAAAAUAAAAAUUUUACUAUAUUGGAAAGAGAAAAAAAGCAUGCAAACGGUUAUUAAAAAGUGAAGUUUUUGGAAGAAAGAUAGAGGAAAGAGCGAAAAAGUAAUUUUUGCUAAUUUGGGGACAAUAAACUUCUAACAAAGAUGGCGAACGUAUCGAGUAUCUAUAAAUAACUUGUAUUGUUGAAAAUAAUUUUCAUUUUAUUUUUUUUUUCAAAAAUUCAAUAUUUUAAUGUCUAAUUAAUUUAAUCUUCAACGUAUUUCCUUCUUUAUAUCCAAGAGUUACGAUUUAAUAAUUAAACUUUUAUUUAAUUUAAUGAAGCUUUUUUUAACUAAAAUAAAAUCUAAUCGUGAAAUCAUAAACUCUUGAUGCAAUGACGAAGUUACACAGUUACACAGUGAGAAAUUAGAGAAAUAAAUUUUUAACUAAGAGCAUACAUUAAUGAUUAUAUAUGAAUUUUUUAAAAUUCAUUUUUUAUUUAAAACAAAAUAAUACUUUAUUAUAAGAUAAUACUUAAUUAUAAAUUUUUUAAAUCUCAGAUCUUUUUUCUGCCAUCUUAUGUAUAUGUAAAUACGAAUCAACUAAGUGGAAAAUGUAAAUUUGAGAUAGAGGAAGACUACAAAUAUGACGAAAGAAGUUGAAAAAUGAAACAGAUGGCAUAUGGAUGCGCAUGGAUGUACAGUAUACGAGUACUUGAAAUGGAAAAAGAGGACGAGUAUGGACUAAAAAAUUAAUAAAGUGGAAGGAAAUUCAAAGAAAGA